UUAAAAUAGAAUUUUGAUUAUUGUUAGAUCAGAUCGAAUAUAAAAAGGGAACAACUAUUCUCGUCUGAUAAUUUAUUUUAUUUAUCAAUUCUCAUUCAAAUUUUAUCACUUUUAUUCACUUGUAAACGUAUAUGUGCAUCAGAUUAUAAUUCAAGGAAAAAUUAUUGUUAUACUUAAUAAUAUAUAAUUAUAUUUUCCAGGAUAAUGUUGAUGGACAGAAGCGAAGAUUACGAGUGGAAAAUUUUUGUUUAAUUUCAUCGAGUAGAUAGCUGUCAGAAAUUUUAUCUCAUCUAAUCUAGUCUAUUGAGAUAUUCAAGAGCACAAAUCGAUGAUUCGAACGAUUAGUUUAAUCAUAUGAAAAUUUUUAUUUUUCGCAUAUAAAUAAUCUCCAGCAAAGAAAAAAAAAGAAAAAAAAAAAAAAAAAAAAAAGAACUGAUAGAUCUAUAUCGACAUAUUGUAGGCGUGUCGCAAAUCUCGAUGCAAGAAAGUUCAAAAGGAUAAAGAAGGAGCAAGAAUUAAAGCAAAGAAAAAAAGAAUAAUAAUAGUAAACGUGCGAAGCCGUGACAAUUACGGUGAAUGUCGAAAGGAUGCAUCAUUGCAAUAAUGAAAA